GGGCCCGCACAAGCGGAGGAACAUGUGGUUUAAUUCGAUGAUACGCGAGGAACCUUACCUGGGCUCGAACGUAGGAGGAAUAUAGGGGAAACCUUAUAGCUAGCAAUAGCCGCCUACGAGGUGCUGCAUGGUUGUCGUCAGCUCGUGCCGUGAGGUGUCGGCUUAAGUGCCAUAACGAGCGCAACCCUUAUUGUUAGUUGCCAGCGGGUUAAGCCGGGGACUCUAACAAAACUGCCAGCGUAAGCUGUGAGGAAGGCGGGGAUGACGUCAAAUCAGCACGGCCCUUACGUCCAGGGCCACACACGUGUUACAAUGGUUGGUACAGAGGGCAGCUACCCCGCGAGGGGAUGCGAAUCUCUAAAGCCAAUCUCAGUUCGGAUUGGAGUCUGCAACUCGACUCCAUGAAGUUGGAUUCGCUAGUAAUCGCGCAUCAGCCACGGCGCGGUGAAUACGUUCCCGGGCCUU
rnacentral:rRNA from 1 species